UAAUCCUACGGGGGGCAGCAGUGGGGAAUAUUGCACAAUGGGGGAAACCCUGAUGCAGCGACGCCGCGUGAGUGAAGAAGUAUUUCGGUACGUAAAGCUCUAUCAGCAGGGAAGAAAAAAAGUCCUUUGGACUUUGGACGGUACCUGACCAAGAAGCCCCGGCUAACUACGUGCCAGCAGCCGCGGUAAUACGUAGGGGGCAAGCGUUAUCCGGCUUUACUGGGUGUAAAGGGGGCGCAGACGGCGAUGCAAGCCAGGAGUGAAAGCCCGGGGCCCAACCCCGGGACUGCUCUUGGAACUGCGUG
rnacentral:rRNA from 1 species